GAUGAACGCUAGCUACAGGCUUAACACAUGCAAGUCGAGGGACCGGCGCACGGGUGAGUAACACGUAUCCAACCUGCCCUUUACUCGGGGAUAGCAUUUCGAAAGACAGAUUAAUACCCGAUAUCAAGGAUGGGGAUGCGUUCCAUUAGGUUGUUUGUGAGGGAACGGCUCACCAAGCCUUCGAUGGAUAGUGGUUCUGAGAGGAAGUUCCACCAGAUAGGAACUGAGACCAGGCCCAAACACCUACGGGAUGAAGGAGAGAGGAAGAUUUGGAAAUCGGCUCGAGACUGAACCAGCCAAGUGGCGUGAAGGAUGAAGGCUUAUGGGUAGUAUACUUCUUUGAUAGAAGAAUAUGUAUUAUAUGAAUAAGGAUCGGCUAACUCCGUGCCAGCAGCCGCGGUAAUUC
rnacentral:rRNA from 1 species